UCUGCUAGCUCGGGACCCCGCGCGGGGAGAGUCGCCAGUUGGGGGUCCGGCCGGCCACGCCACCUACGCCGGGACGGCUGCCUCCGCGGCGCGACGCUCCCACGGACUUAGCUGGGAUGCAGAAUAGAAGCUGGGCCUUUGUCUGACUCCCCUGCAACAGUCAGCCACAGACGGGAAGGCAGCGCAGGAAACUGAGGCCAAAGGAGCCGCGCUUCCUCAGGAGCAUGAAGCAGCAAACCCUGAACUAGAAGCUUCUAACGCCUAACCGUCCUCUUGGCGCACCAGGACCUACCUCUGCAAGGCCCUUCCUGACUUUUUCCUUAGAAUGUGUGUAUAUGUGUCUUUUUCCUUUUCUGAUGCUAAGACACCUCAGAAACACCAAUGUUAAGCAGAUUUCCAUCGUUGGAGGUUAAAACACCCGAACACAAGUGUUUUCUUGAGUGUGGCAUCUGGUCAGAUGUUUUAUGGGUUGGCUUGUUUUUUAAAAAAAAAAAAAUUCCUGGAAGAUGGGUGGUAAGAACCAGUCAGAGUUUGUAAACCCACCAAGCACGAGGCGGUCGGACCGUCCAGAUUCUGGAGUCCACAAGACACCAAACGUUCUCAGAAUGCCGAACGCGGGCGCCACCUGGUGGGACUAGAACGCUCAUUGUCCCAAAUCAGCAUAGCACACAGUUCCCAUAAAUCUUAAAAAUUCCCAUCCAAGGCUCAUUUCCGUGUGACUAAAAGUCAUAUUCUCUGUUCUCGUGACUCCAAGUAAAAAUGUCCGUAAAGAGCCAAAGUAUCUUCACUGUAUAAACUAAUAAUCUAUUGGUUUGGGGAAUUUUAUUUUUUGUGAUCAAUGUUACUUUAGCCUUUCUAUGAUAUACGUAUAAAUAAAAAAGUUUUCUUUCA